UUUUCACCCUCGGGUGACAGGGAGACAGGUGGUGCAUGGUUGUCGUCAGCUCGUGUCGUGAGAUGUUGGGUUAAGUCCCGCAACGAGCGCAACCCCUACGUUUAGUUGCUAACGCGUGAAGGCGAGCACUCUAGACGAACUGCCGUUGACAAAACGGAGGAAGGUGGGGAUGACGUCAAAUCAUCAUGCCCCCUUAUGUUCUGGGCUACACACGUGCUACAAUGGCCGGUACAGACGGACGCAAAGCCGCGAGGUGGAGCAAAUCCUAAAAAAGCCGGUCUCAGUUCGGAUUGCAGGCUGCAAUUCGCCUGCAUGAAGUCGGAAUCGCUAGUAAUCGCAGGUCAGCAUACUGCGGUGAAUACGUUCCCGGGCCUU
rnacentral:rRNA from 1 species